rnacentral:rRNA from 1 species
CGGGUGAGUAAUGUAUGGGGAUCUGCCUGAUGGCGGGGGAUAACUACUGGAAACGGUAGCUAAUACCGCAUAAUGUCUGCGGACCAAAGCGGGGGACCUCCGGGCCUCGCGCCAUCAGAUGAACCCAUAUGGGAUUAGCUAGUAGGUGGGGUAACGGCUCACCUAGGCGACGAUCCCUAGCUGGUCUGAGAGGAUGACCAGCCACACUGGGACUGAGACACGGUCCAG